GGCUCCAUAGUGUGGUGGUUAGCACGUCUGCUUUACACACAGAAGGUCCCAGGUUCGCACCCCAGGUAGAGCCA
rfam:Pteropus alecto contig99575, whole genome shotgun sequence.